CCUGAGUUGGUGUAGUGGUUAGCAUAUCCAGUGGUACGGGUGGGCAGAGCGUUAUAGCAAACCUACUUGCCUUCGGGGGGGAAGACUCUGGUUCAAAUCCCGAACUCAGGG